rnacentral:pre_miRNA from 1 species
GAGACACUAGGAGUUUCCUUCAAGCACUUCACGGCAAACUAUUCAAAGUUGCGUGAAGUGUUUGGAGGAACUCUUAGUGUCAC